rnacentral:rRNA from 1 species
AUUGAACGCUGGCGGCAGGCUUAACACAUGCAAGUCGAGCGGUAACAGAGAGAGGCUUGCUUCUCUGCUGACGAGCGGCGGACGGGUGAGUAAUGCCUAGGAAUCUGCCUAGUAGUGGGGGAUAACUUGCCGAAAGGUAAGCUAAUACCGCAUACGUACUACGGGAGAAAGGAGGGGACCUUCGGGCCUGUCGCUAUUAGAUGAGUCUAGGUCGGAUUAGUUAGUUGGUGAGGUAAUGGCUCACCAAGACCGCGAUCCGUAACUGGUCUGAGGGGAUGAUCAGUCACACUGGAACUGAGACACGGUCCAGACUCCUACGGGAGGCAGCAGUGGGGAAUAUUGGACAAUGGGGGGAACCCUGAUCCAGCCAUGCCGCGUGUGUGAAGAAGGUCUUAGGAUUGUAAAGCACUUUAAGUUGGGAGGAAGAGCAGUUAACUAAUAUUUGACUGUUUUGACGUUACCGACAGAAUAAGCACCGGCUAACUUCGUGCCAGCCGCCGCCGUAA